rnacentral:rRNA from 1 species
CCUACGGGAGGCAGCAGUGAGGAAUAUUGGUCAAUGGCCGUAAGGCUGAACCAGCCAAGUAGCGUGAGGGAAGACUGCCCUAUGGGUUGUAAACCUCUUUUAUGCGGGGAUAAAGGUGUCCACGUGUGGAUGUUUGCAGGUACCGCAUGAAUAAGGACCGGCUAAUUCCGUGCCAGCAGCCGCGGUAAUACGGAAGGUCCGGGCGUUAUCCGGAUUUAUUGGGUUUAAAGGGAGCGUAGGCCGGUCUUUAAGCGUGCCGUGGAAUUUUGUGGCUCAACCAUGGGAGUGCGGCGCGAACUGGAGACCUUGAGUGCACGGAAGGCAGGCGGAAUUCGUGGUGUAGCGGUGAAAUGCUUAGAUAUCACGAAGAACCCCGAUGGCGAAGGCAGCCUGCCGCAGCGUUACUGACGCUGAGGCUCGAAAGCGCGGGUAGCGAACAGGAUUAGAUACCCCAGUAGUC